rnacentral:misc_RNA from 1 species
GAAAUGCGAUAAGUAAUGUGAAUUGCAGAAUUCAGUGAAUCAUCGAAUCUUUGAACGCACCUUGCGCUCCUUGGUAUUCCUUGGAGCAUGCCUGUUUGAGUAUCAUGAAAUCUUCAAAGUAAAUCUUUUGUUAACUCAAUUGGUUUCUACUUUGGUAUUGGAGGUCUUUGCAGCUUCACACCUGCUCCUCUUUGUUCAUUAGCUGGAUCUCAGUGUUAUGCUUGGUUCCACUCGGCGUGAUAAGUUAUCUAUCGCUGAGGACACUGUAAAAGGUGGCCAAGGUAAAUGCAGAUGAACCGCUUCUAAUAGUCCAUUGACUUGGACAAUACUUUUAUGAUCUGAUACCAAAUCAGGUAGGACUACCCGCUGAACUUAAGC